UACGAAGGGGGCUAGCGUUGUUCGGAAUUACUGGGCGUAAAGGGCGCGUAGGCGGCCCGCUAAGUCGAACGUGAAAUCCCCGAGCUCAACUCGGGAACUGCGCCCGAUACUGGCGGGCUUGAAUCCGGGAGAGGGAUGCGGAAUUCCAGGUGUAGCGGUGAAAUGCGUAGAUAUCUGGAGGAACACCGGUGGCGAAGGCGGUUCUCUGGGCCUGUACUGACGCUGAGGAACGAAAGCGUGGGGGAGCGAACAGG
rnacentral:rRNA from 1 species